UCUUUUUUAACUAAAAGUUUAAAAAAUAUGCAUUCAUCUCCCCUUGUGAGUGUAGGGACAGUUGGUUAGCACUAAAUAUGAUCUCAAUCUGUUUGUUACAAGUUAGCGUUAACCGAAAAAUGAAGUUUUCUUGGCUUGAUCAUAUCGUGGAUGAUUAUUGGAUAAAUACGGUUUAAUACUUUUGAAAGUGUAUAAGGAAAGACCCAAUUAUGCACAUGAGAAUUCUAAAAUUUAAUUAGCUUUUAUGUAUAUGCUGCAAAGUUUAGAUACGCGAUGCCCAGUGACUAACGAAAUGAACCAUGCAUAACUCGGCCAUAAGUUAACCGUUCAGCGCCAGAUCGAAAGCCGGCGUUUCCGAGCGCGAGUGAGAAAGAAACUUCACCUUUCUGUGGGCAACGGCAAUUCCACUUAUUUGCCACAAGGCAUCAGGCCGUCUGGUGAACGUGAAGAAUUCGAUUGAAUUUCAACCUUUGAACCAUGGGAGCGCCAUGGCAAGGAACGUUGUUGGGCUGUUGUCUUACUUGUUCCAUUCCAUGUCCCAUUCUAAUGGGGUCUCCAAUAUUACGUGAUUGUUCGGUUGCUAUCGGUAGCGCUGCUGAUUGGUAAUUCAGCCCAGUUUCAGCAUAACAUACUAUUCCUUUUUAACCUCACCAAGAGCAGAGCAGAGUGUAUAAGAUUUGCUCUCCUCAAAUUUUAAUUAAGCUAUGCCAGUGGUCGCUCAUUGUUUUACUCUCUAAAGUAACAAAUUUCGAAGUUCAAAUAUUUCAACCUAUCGAAGCUACCGGAGGUGAACCAGGUCGUUGGGCAACGUAGCGAAGGCUUUUCUCUUCACGGGAGCGUUUAGUUUUGGCUCAUUUUUGGGAGCCAAUGUUUUGGAAUACGAAAAUACCCGAAAUAUGAUGAUGUUGGAGAAAGCCCGUCAAACGAAAUUUCCUGGUUUCCGCGUAAGACAAACAAUGGAACUUUACAAAAGCUAAAAAAAAACGUGAAACGCCAUUGGGAUAAGUUAAUUCUAUCUUGUAAGCGAUUUACUGCCAAAACAAACUAAUAUUUUCUUUAUUAUAGACGUGUAUAUUAAAAUUGAAACUAAUGAGAAAUAUUUUAAAAUUAAAACAUUAAAUUAAUUUAUUCGCUUUCUAUGUACUGC